AUGCUUGAGAUUUUCAACGAAUAUAAUUUGAACAAGUACAUUACUAGCCCUUGUGCACCUCAUGUUGAUCCUUUGCACCCUACCCUUGAUGACUCUAUUGACAUGAUCCGUAAUCUUAGAACUGUCAAUUUAAUCACUAGAGGUUUGCCUAGAAACUUGCUUGCUAGCUUGCCUGCUCUUGAUUGUGCCUACACCAUAUGGAGAUUUCUUGAGGAACGAUUUCCAAACUAUUCCUUGCAAAACUUGGAUGAUAUUCUUCAUAAGUCUAUUGCCUUAAGUAAGAUGAGUUCCAAUGAUCCCAAAUUUGGUGAUUGUCUAUUUGAGCUUACUAAUCUUACGAGUGCCAAAGGAGAUGUUGGAAUCAUUAGCAAUAUCAUCUCCGAAGCCAUUAGAAUUCAUAAAGAUGACUAUUGUGAUGACCAUUUAUCUAAUGAAUUGCCCUCUCUAGGAAUUGAUCCAUCACAAGACGAUGUUGAACAUGGGUACUAUGAUGAGAAUGAUGAUAGUGACUUUGAUCUCGACGAGUCUAUGAGACACUUUGGUCUUAUGGCAAAUCUUCACGGCUACAUGGCUGGAGGAAAAGAAUGGGUUCUUGAUAGUGGGUGUACUGAUCACAUGACCGGAGACAAGGUUAUGUUUCGUGAGCUUGUUGAAAACGACGGCCCUCGAAAGUACGUCACUUUUGGAGAUAACUCAAAGGUUAAGGUGGUUGGCCUUGGUAAGGUGGCCAUCUCACAUGAUAGCUCUAUACAAAAUGUUAUGCUCGUUGAAUAUCUUGGCUAG
rnacentral:rRNA from 1 species